rnacentral:misc_RNA from 1 species
GAUGAAGAACGUAGCGAAAUGCGAUAAGUAGUGUGAAUUGCAGAAUUCCGUGAAUCAUCGAAUCUUUGAACGCACAUUGCGCCUUCUGGUACUCCGGAAGGCAUGCCUGUUCGAGAGUCAUUAACAACCGUUUCGAUCCCUUUCUUUCAGAAAUUACAAAGAGGAAAAGGGUUUGGUUAUGGUGGAGGAGGGAAAGGGAGCGUUUAGCCUGUAAAAAAAGAGGCUGUGUUCCGCCUCCCCCCCAAAAUUGUACAGGCGGUCGUGUGCGCCCACGCAUCGAGGUGUUGUAAAAGCUGCCACGGCACUUUUCACCUGUGCAGUGCGAGAUUGGCCAGCCGGUUUAAAAACCCCUCCAAACAAUCAAAGGUUGACCUCGGAUCAGGUAGGGAUACCCGCUGAACUUAAGCAUAUCAAUAAGCGGAGGA